GACGAACGCUGGCGGCGUGCUUAACACAUGCAAGUCGAACGGAGUGGCGAACGGGUGAGUAACACGUGGGUGACCUGCCCUGCACUUCGGGAUAAGCCUGGGAAACUGGGUCUAAUACCGGAUAGUGUGGGAUGGGCCCGCGGCCUAUCAGCUUGUUGGGGGGGUAAUGGCCUGCCAAGGCGGCGACGGGUAGCCGGCCUGGGAGGGUGGACGGCGACAUUGUGACUACGGCACGCCCCAGACUGCUAUGGGAGGCAGCGGUGGGGAAUAUUGCACAAUGGGCGGAAGCCUGAUGCAGCGUCGCCGCGUGGGGGAUAACGGCCUUCGGGUUGUAACCUCCUUUCACCAUCGACGCGGUAGAUGGAGAAGAAGCACCGGCUAACUACGUGCCAGCAGCCGCGGUAAUAC
rnacentral:rRNA from 1 species